rnacentral:rRNA from 1 species
GACGAACGCUGGCGGCGUGCUUAACACAUGCAAGUCGAACGGAAAGGCCCUGCUUUUGUUGGGUGCUAGAGUGGCGAAGGUGUGUGUAACACGUGAGUAACCCGCCCUUUGGUUGGGGAUAACUUCAGGGAACUGGUGAUAAUACCUGAGAGGAGCGCCUGCUGGAUGGGGGGGGGUGGAAAGUUUCGGCGGUUGGGGAUGGACUCGCGGGUUAUCGGCUUGUUGGGGGGGUAGGGGCUUACCAAGGCUUUGCAGGGUAGGCGGCCUGAGGGGGUGAACGCCGACAAUGCGCCUGCGAGACGGACCAGACUGCUACUGUAGGCAGUAGUGGGGACUAUUGCACAACGGGCGCAAGCCUGAUGAAGCAACGCCGCGGGCGGGAUGAAGGCCUUCGGGUUGUAAACCGCUUUUGCCUGUGACGAAGCGUGAGUGACGGUAAUGGGUAAAGAAGCACCGGCUAACUACGUG